UACGUAGGCAGCAAGCGUUGUUCGGAGUUACUGGGCGUAAAGGGUGCGUAGGCGGCUUUUUAAGUUUGGUGUGAAAUCUCCCGGCUCAACUGGGAGGGUGCGCCGAAUACUGAGAGGCUAGAGUGUGGGAGAGGAAAGUGGAAUUCCUGGUGUAGCGGUGAAAUGCGUAGAUAUCAGGAGGAACACCGGUGGCGAAGGCGGGUCUCUGGGCAGUAACUGACGCUGAGGCACGAAAGCGUGGGGAGCGAACAGG
rnacentral:rRNA from 1 species